CCUCCUUGGUGGGGGUUGGGCGUGUGGUCCCAGUCCCCGUAAUGUACGGAGGGAGAGGGAAAGGGCUCUGGGACCCUCGGCAUCAUGCCUUCGGUGCCCAUGGUUUGCAGUCCACUGGUUCUAUCCUCUAGCGCGGGGACACAG